AGGAAAGAGCCUCACCCUGAAUGAGCACCCCUGCCAGCAGAGUAGUCUAUGGAGCAGGCAGGGCCCACCACCCACGCUGUCCUGAAGGUGGCCCCGUGAACUCCCUCCCGCCCUCGGCACCACCUCCUGGACUCCAGAGGGUCACUCCCUACCCCAGAUGAGACUCUGGCAGGAGGUGGCUACAGCCUCAAGACAGCAUGGCUCCUCCAGGCCAGCCCUGCAGCCACAUGAGACCACCCCUGUACCGGACCACCACACUUGGAGGGAGGAAACACAUGGACCCCAGCACCUGGCAGCAGCUCACCAG